CCUACGGGCGUGCUGCAGUGGGGAAUAUUGGACAAUGGGCGAAAGCCUGAUCCAGCCAUGCCGCGUGUGUGAAGAAGGCCUUCGGGUUGUAAAGCACUUUCAGUUGGGAAGAAAGCCUUGGGGCUAAUACCCUCGAGGAAGGACAUCACCCACAGAAGAAGCACCGGCUAACUCCGUGCCAGCAGCCGCGGUAAUACGGAGGGUGCGAGCGUUAAUCGGAAUUACUGGGCGUAAAGCGCGCGUAGGCGGUCUGAUAAGCCGGUUGUGAAAGCCCCGGGCUCAACCUGGGAACGGCAUCCGGAACUGUCAGGCUAGAGUGCAGGAGAGGAAGGUAGAAUUCCCGGUGUAGCGGUGAAAUGCGUAGAGAUCGGGAGGAAUACCAGUGGCGAAGGCGGCCUUCUGGACUGACACUGACGCUGAGGUGCGAAAGCGUGGGUAGCAAACAGGAUUAGAUACCCUGGUAGUC
rnacentral:rRNA from 1 species